rnacentral:rRNA from 1 species
GCACAAGUGGGGGAAACCCUGAUGCAGCCAUGCCGCGUGUGUGAAGAAGGCCUUCGGGUUGUAAAGCACUUUCAGUAGGGAGGAAGGUAGUGUAGUUAAUACCUGCAUUAUUUGACGUUACCUACAGAAGAAGCACCGGCUAACUCCGUGCCAGCAGCCGCGGUAAUACGGAGGGUGCGAGCGUUAAUCGGAAUUACUGGGCGUAAAGCGCAUGCAGGCGGCCUGUUAAGUCAGAUGUGAAAGCCCGGGGCUUAACCUCGGAAUUGCAUUUGAAACUGGCAGGCUAGAGUCUUGUAGAGGGGGGUAGGAAUUUCAGGUGUAGCGGUGAAAUGCGUAGAGAUCUGAAGGAAUACCAGUGGCGAAGGCGGCCCCCUGGACAAAGACUGACGCUCAGAUGCGAAAGCGUGGGGAGCAAACAGGAUUAGAUACCCUGGUAG